ACGCUCAAGUACCUUUAAGGGAUUCAAGUGUAAUAAAAAUCAGUUUUUAUCAGACAAUAUGACACCGGAAAUGUAACCUCAAAUCAUGCAUUUUAAAUUUUACCGGUAAUUUCAAAUUUCUGAUAUGCGCAAACAUUCAAACUGUAAAAAGAAAAUGAAAUGAUUUCAUUUUGAGGGAGAAAAUAAAGUAGAAAUGACUGUUUAUUUAAAAUUGCACUGUGGUUUUAUUCAGGCGUUGAAUAUACGGAAUAUCUAAUGGAUAAAUAAUGCAGAAGCUACUAAAAUAAAUAGUUAAUGAAUUAAUCGUUUGUGCAGGCAUUUUUGUGAAAAAAAAAAGAUUAUUUCAACGGCUAACUCAUUUUUCAAUGAGCGUUUGGGUAAAGUUACAGCACAUGAGCCACAUGCCCUUUUGUGAAAUUAAAUCAUGAAUUAGAUUUAUCGAAAUCUACUGCAAUAGCUUAGCGUAUCAAAGUACACAAAGGGUCUUACGGGUGUUGAUUUCAAUGGAUUCAGACACGGGUAUCCGAAUAAACAAUUAUUUAACAGUCUCUGUGUAUAUGCAAUAGUUUAAUAAUCUUAACGUGGAUUUACACAUUGCCUUUGUUAUAGACGUAUCUUUUGUGUCUUUAAAUUUCUUUUGGAUAUUUCGAAUAUUCGGAUGAUAAACUUUUGUAUAUAUUAUUUGGAUACUUGUAUCUAUGGUGUCUCCAUCAACUUCACCAGGAAAGCCUUCGAAACCAAAGUUUCCUCUGUUCAACCGGCUCUUGCAUGAUAGUCUGUCCGGGAGGGUACCGGCACGGAACGGUAAUUAUCCUGAGUGUUCAGCUACAGCCCCUGUGCUCUAGUGCUCCUCUAAACCAAGUAUUGACGACAUGGCAAAAGAAACUGUUCAUAAAGGUAUGUUUUUAGUAAAUUUUGAUUUUAAAUAACAUAUGUUUUUUUUACUUUUUUUUGCUUUCAAGUCAAUAUAUAAUUGGUUAUGAAUUAAAAAUUCUAUGUAUAAAUUUGCCAUUGUCAGUCAUUAUGAAUGUCUUGUUAACAUUGUACGUGCGUCAUACUGAAUAAAUGUCGACACUUUCAUACAUAUCAUAUACUGUACUAUAAAAAUAUACGGAAAUUGCCGAUGGUUCCCGAAUUUAUACGCAACAACUGCGAUUUUAAUUUUUCAAUAUUUUAACAUAUCAACUGUAGUACCUGUUGAAAUUUCUUAACAGGUAACACGUUUAACUCAAACUUUAAUCUUAAUUCAUUUUUUCCAGUAUAUGAAUGAACACGUUUUGUAUCAUGAAAAAGCACUUCCUGUCCUGAUAAAACGUUUGCCAUUAUUAUCUUAUCAAUGUCAUUCAAUGGCAAAUUCACGACAAAACAUUUCAACCUACAGUAAAAAAUCUGAAUAACAAAGAAGAUGACAACCUAGAAGAAUACCCUAUCAAACUCCUGGAUCCUCCAACAAAGUUAAAACGUCAGCUCUCUAUAGACACAGUUGAUCGAACAGAUGAACUACGUGUCAGAAAAAGACUUGCAAUUUUACGCCAGUCAGAUUUAGGUCAAUACAUACCAUCGAGGCAAGAUGAGGUUGACGGCGGUAGACCAUCUUCUUCAGCCAAUGUUGUUCAUUUUGAUACACCUAGACACUACACAGCUAGUGUAUAUGAAACACGAGUAAACACCACUAAACGUGUUACAGUAGUCACAAGUUAUGUUAAAAUUUGGAUUAUCAUUUGGUCAGUUGAAUGCUUCUCCUUGUGUAAAUAGUCAAUCGUUGCAAAUCAGAUUCCAAUUAUUCAGUUUAAUUUGCUUGCGUCACGUAGAGCAGAAUUGAAUGUCAAAACAGCUUUGUCAUCGUAUACUAUUGUGAAAGCUGUAAUCUGCUUGUUUGAAACUAUCUGAUUUUUUUAUAUUAAUGGCUGCUUUAGAUGAUAGUCAUUUUGGUCCGAAAUUGUCGAAGAAGACGCAGGAUGAAUAAAUAUUUUUUUUUCAGAUAUUUCCUCCCUAAUUACUUUUACGUUGGAUUUCUUUUGCAGGAAAUGUUUAGGAAACAAUAACAAAUAAUAAGUCAUUCAUCGAGAUAUGGACGGAAUAAUGACGAAAGAAUAACAUGUUGCACUUACAUUUUUGUGUGAUUAAAUUUACUUGUGGUUGAUUUUA